rnacentral:rRNA from 1 species
AGAGUUUGAUCCUGGCUCAGGGUGAAUGCUGGCGGCGUGGAUGAGGCAUGCAAGUCGAAUGGGUUUAGGCCCAUGGCAGACGAGGUAGGAACACGUAGGUACGUACCCCAAAGUCGAGGAUAAUCUGGAGAAAUCCAGGAUAAUACUUGAUAGUCUCUUCGGAGUAAAGAUUUAUCGCUUUGGGAACGGCCUGCGGUCUAUCAGCUUGUUGGUAAGGUAACGGCUUACCAAGGCUACGACGGAUAGGGGAGGUGAGAGCCUGACCCCCACCGAUGGAACUGCGACACGGUCCAUACUCCCACGGGAGGCCGCAGUCGAGAAUCUUCCGCAAUGGACGAAAGUCUGACGGAGCGACGCCGCGUGGUGGAUGAAGCCUUUAGGGGCGUAAACACCUUUUAUGAGGGAGGAAUUUUAUUGACGUUACCUCAUGAAUAAGGGGCUCCCAAUUCUGUGCCAGCAGGAGCGGUAAUACAGAAGCCCCGGGCAUUACCCGGAUUCACUGGGCGUAAAGGGUGCGUAGGCGGUUAUAUUAGUCGGAUGUUAAAACCUGAGGCUCAACCUCAGGAUCGCAUUCGAAACGGUAUAACUAGAAGAAGUGAGAGGUUAAGGGAACUCUCGGUGUAGGGGUGAAAUCCGUUGAUAUCGAGGGGAACACCAAAUGCGAAGGCACUUAACUGGCACUUUCUUGACGCUGAGGCACGAAAGCGUGGGUAGCGAACGGGAUUAGAUACCCCGGUAGUCCACGCCCUAAACGCUGUCUGCUGGCUUUUGGGAGUAUCGACCCUCUCAGAGGCGAAGUUAACACGUUAAGCAGACCGCCUGGGUAGUACGAGCGCAAGCUUAAAACUCAAAGGAAUAGACGGGGGCUCGCACAAGCGGUGGAGCGCGUGGCUUAAUUCGUCAUUAAGCGAAAAACCUUACCGAGGCUAGAAACCAUACUGCACGCUCUGGGAAACCAGAGAAUCCUUCGAGGGUGUAUGGCAGGUGAUGCAUGGCCGUCGUCAGUUCGUGCUUUGAAGUGUUCCCUUAAGUGGGGAAACGAACGCAACCCUCGUUGCCUGUUACAAGUGUCAGGCGAGACUGCCCCCUCACGGGGGAGGAAGGUGAGGAUGACGCCAGGUCAGCAUGUCCCUUGAUGCCUCGGGCUGCACACACGCUACAAUGGGUAGUACAACGGGUCGCAAUGGAGUAAUCCGGAGCUUAAUCCUUAUAAAACUAUCCUCAGUUCGGAUUGAGGGCUGCAACUCGCCCUCAUGAAGUCGGAAUCGCUAGUAAUCGCGGAUCAGCACGCCGCGGUGAAUACGUUCCCGAGCCUUGUACUCACCGCCCGUCAAGUCAGGGGAGUCGGGAGUGCCCGAAGUUCGUGUUUAUCACGACCUACGGUAAGCUCGAUAACAAGGACUAAGUCGUAACAAGGUAACC